rnacentral:rRNA from 1 species
AUUGAACGCUGGCGGCAGGCUUAACACAUGCAAGUCGAGCGGGGGAAGGUAGCUUGCUACCGGACCUAGCGGCGGACGGGUGAGUAAUGCUUAGGAAUCUGCCUAUUAGUGGGGGACAACAUCUCGAAAGGGAUGCUAAUACCGCAUACGUCCUACGGGAGAAAGCAGGGGAUCUUCGGACCUUGCGCUAAUAGAUGAGCCUAAGUCGGAUUAGGUAGUUGGUGGGGAAAAGGCCUACCAAGGCGACGAUCUGUAGCGGGUCUGAGAGGAUGAUCCGCCACACUGGGACUGAGACACGGCCCAGACGCCUACGGGAGGCAGCAGUGGGGAAUAUUGGACAAUGGGGGGAACCCUGAUCCAGCCAUGCCGCGUGUGUGAAGAAGGCCUUAUGGUUGUAAAGCACUUUAAGCGAGGAGGAGGCUACUCUAGUUAAUACCUAGGGAUAGUGGACGUUACUCGCAGAAUAAGCACCGGCUAACUCUGUGCCAGCAGCCGCGGUAA